GACGAACGCUGGCGGUGUGCUUCACACAUGCAAGUCGAACGAGGUAGCAAUACCUAGUGGCGGACGGGUGAGUAACGCGUGGGAAUCUGCCUUUAGAUGGGGGAUAACGGGUCGAAAGACUCGCUAAUACCGCAUAUGACGAAAGUUGAAAGGAGUAAUCCGUCUAAAGAUGAGCCCGCGUCCGAUUAGCUAGUUGGUAGAGUAAAAGCCUACCAAGGCGACGAUCGGUAGCUGGUCUGAGAGGAUGAUCAGCCACAAUGGGACUGAGACACGGCCCAUACUCCUACGGGAGGCAGCAGUGGGAAUUUUACGCAAUGGGCGAAAGCCUGACGUAGCGACACCGCGUGAGCGAAGAAGCCCCUUGGGGUGUAAAGCUCUGUCAGCUGGAACGAAAAAAUGACGGUACCAGCAGAGGAAGCAUCGGCUAACUACGUG
rnacentral:rRNA from 1 species